UACGUAGGGUGCGAGCGUUGUCCGGAAUUAUUGGGCGUAAAGGGCUCGUAGGCGGUCCGUCACGUCGGGAGUGAAAACCUGGGGCUCAACCCCAGGCCUGCUUCCGAUACGGGCGGACUAGAGGUAGGCAGGGGAGAGCGGAAUUCCUGGUGUAGCGGUGAAAUGCGCAGAUAUCAGGAGGAACACCGGUGGCGAAGGCGGCUCUCUGGGCCUUACCUGACGCUGAGGAGCGAAAGCGUGGGGAGCAAACAGG
rnacentral:rRNA from 1 species